GUAUGAUAUUAUUUACAAAUGACAAUACAAUAACAUCAAAUAUGCAGAUGUUAAUGAUGAAGACAAUAAUUUUCGCGACCGAGAAGGAAGGGUAACACUUUUUCAUUUUUAUUUCUUAUUUUUUUAAGCAAAUGUAGUACACAGAUGAUAAUAUGAUCUAGUUCACAGAGACUAUAAAGAUGUCCUAUAUAUCACGGACACUUUGCAGAAACGUAUCUUUCUACAAAAACCGCCUGUGUAGUUUACCGCUUUUUUCAUCCUUUUUUUCUUUCUUUUUUGUAAUCUUGUAGUUUAUGACUUCACUUUGUUUUCUUUAUUAUCAUUAUUUCCUUCGUAACCUCGAUCGAACACAGGGACACACACACACACACCUGCGUCUCCCCUGUGAAAUAUAUCCCAUUCCUGUGUGCGCUUCUGUCUAACAUAGGCGCGUCUCUGAACUCUCACGCAGACGGACAGGCAGAUAGAUAGACACCCAGGCACACGCGCUGGGAUCUGGAGAUAAUACGUGAUAGAAUCUCACUUGCUUGUGUAGGUUCUUUCGGCUUGUGUGAAGGAGGCAUGAGGGGCCCACGUGUUCGAGUGUUUGUGGCUCUGGCUUCGGCGAGCGUCUUCCUCCUCCCACCCGCCCUCGCCGCCCACGACGACACGCCCACAGGCAUCCCGGGCGAUUCCACGAGGACCUGCGUCGGCGAAGGGUGCCUCCGGCCCCCUCGCUCCGCCGCUUCUGCGCUUCCUUCGUCGAACUCUGAGCCUGUGGAACGAACGGUGCGAGAAACGGAGAUGAAGAUAGAGGAGGAGGAG